GUGCUUAACACAUGCAAGUCGAGUGCGCGCCUGUAGCAAUACAGGUGGCGCACGGCGCACGGGUGCGUAACACGUGGGUAAUCUGCCCUCUGAUGGGGAAUAACUCGCCGAAAGGCGAGCUAAUUCCGCAUAAUAUUCCGAGAACCUCGGUUUUUGGACUGAAAGGCGCAAGUCGUCGGAGGAGGAGCCCGCGCACGAUUAGCUAGUUGGUAGGGUAAUGGCCUACCAAGGCUUUGAUCGUUAGCUGGUCUGAGAGGAUGGCCAGCCACACUGGAACUGAGACACGGUCCAG
rnacentral:rRNA from 1 species